CACUCCUGCGGGAGGCAGCAGUGAGGAAUAUUGGACAAUGGGUGGAAGCCUGAUCCAGCCAUCCCGCGUGCAGGAAGACGGCCCUAUGGGUUGUAAACUGCUUUUAUCUGGGGAUAAACCUACUUACGUGUAAGUAGCUGAAGGUACCAGAAGAAUAAGCACCGGCUAACUCCGUGCCAGCAGCCGCGGUAAUACGGAGGGUGCAAGCGUUAUCCGGAUUUAUUGGGUUUAAAGGGUCCGUAGGCGGACUGAUAAGUCAGUGGUGAAAUCCGACAGCUUAACUGUCGAACUGCCAUUGAUACUGUUAGUCUUGAGUAAGGUUGAAGUGGCUGGAAUAAGUAGUGUAGCGGUGAAAUGCAUAGAUAUUACUUAGAACACCAAUUGCGAAGGCAGGUCACUAAGUCUUAACUGACGCUGAUGGACGAAAGCGUGGGGAGCGAACAGGAUUAGAAACCCGAGUAGUCCCA
rnacentral:rRNA from 1 species